GGAGUUUAUCGUGUACGCAAGUCAUUGGGUGAAUAAAACCCAAAGGCGAAAUGAAAGUAAAGAGUUGAGUUUAUAAUUGAGAAUUUAUUUUCUUUUAUUUCUCUCUUUAGGGAAGAUGAAAAUUUAAUUUAUAAUCUAUUUAUAGAUUAUUUAUUCUAAAUUUUUCGCAUUCCCAGGGCGCUUGUUUCACGCUUUGCGUGUCGAUGCGCACCCAGAGCGUACACGCUGAUACCCGAAAGAUGGUGAACUAUGCCUGGCCAGGACGAAGCCAGGGGAAACCCUGGUGGAGGUCCGCAGCGAUUCUGACGUGCAAAUCGAUCGUCGGAGCUGGGUAUAGGGGCGAAAGACCAAUCGAACCAUCUAGUAGCUGGUUCCCUCUGAAGUUUCCCUCAGGAUAGCUUGCGCUCGUCUUAUGAGUCUCAUCCGGUAGAGCGAAUGAUUAGAGGCAUUGGGGUCGAAACGACCUCAACCUAUUCUCAAACUCCAAAUAGAUGAGACCCCCGGCUUUCUUAAAAUUGAAGCCGUGGGAUUAGGAUCAGAGUGCCAAGUGGGCCAAUU
rnacentral:rRNA from 1 species